AUAUAACUUGAAGUGAUUUUGGCGCUCAAAGCAAGAAGCAUUUUCGAUGACGACAACGCAACAGACUACAUCAUUUCGAGGUAACGUUUGCAAACAGCGAUCCGGAGAUAGUCAGCAUGGAUGAUUUGGAGGACACCACAUUGUCGGUGUUAAAGGCCGCCAGCAUUGAUGAGGGGGUUUUGAAAACUCUCAGCUGGAAUGACUUAAAAGAUCUCUUUCCUGGCCCUGAGCGUUUUCUCAAGAGGAAGAGGCUAUGGGAUUUAAUCAGUCCAGAGGAUUGGGACAGUGGGUUGCUAAUUGUAAAUCUGUAAACACGCAAU